rnacentral:rRNA from 1 species
UACGUAGGGUGCGAGCGUUAAUCGGAAUUACUGGGCGUAAAGCGUGCGCAGGCGGUUUUGUAAGUCAGAUGUGAAAUCCCCGGGCUUAACCUGGGAACUGCGUUUGAAACUACAAGGCUAGAGUUUGGCAGAGGGGGGUAGAAUUCCACGUGUAGCAGUGAAAUGCGUAGAUAUGUGGAGGAAUACCGAUGGCGAAGGCAGCCCCCUGGGUCAAAACUGACGCUCAUGCACGAAAGCGUGGGGAGCAAACAGG